AGAUAAAAGACCUAAAAACUAAUCAGGCAGAAAUGAAAAAUGCAAUAACUGAUAUUUGAAACCAGCUGGAUGUAAUGACCACUAGGAUGGAAGAAGCUGAAGAACAAAUAAAUGAUAUAGAAGAUAGAAUUAUGGAA